rnacentral:lncRNA from 1 species
AAGGCCAAAACUCAGUUUUAAUCCAAGUUUGAAAACCCACAACUUGGAGUCAAUAUUAUAUCGUAAAGGGCAAAAAACCCGAAGUGAACAAGAUCUGAAAGCUAACCAUGUGAAAGAAUUUAUAAUAAAAAAACAUAAAAAAGUUAACGGAUUUUGAGUGAACAGGAUCUGAAGAAUCCACCCUCUGCCUCACAAAAUUCUCAGUUUUUGCUCUAUUUCACUCUCCAUUCUCCUCUCUUUCUCCUCUCUCUUCCUUUCCUCAAACCAGAUUCAGCCACUAUUCUUCUUUUCUCUUUGCUUUCUGUCCUUCCUCUAUUCUCUCUCCGGUUUCACUAAAGCAGCCCCCUCUUCACGAUGUUCUUCCCUUCCUCUGCUACGCCUCCUUCUCUCCUCUUCUUCCUUCCGCGAUUCCCGCCAUUUUCUUCCAAAAAAUUCAUCCUCUAUCUACUCUAAACAGUCACAAGUCUGACUCCCCUCCCUAACUGGCACGGGUAUGCUAGCUGGCUUCUGGGUUUUUCCUUGGAGGUUUUUUCGAGCUGUGAUCCCCUGCUCGACGGCUUCAUAUCCAUGCGCUUGAUUUAUCUAUCCCUGCUGGUCAUCCUCUAUCUACCCUGCUGGUCAUCGUCGACGCAGCAAAGAAACCUCCUCCAGGCUUCUUCACGUUUUCAUCGUAGAUGAAGUCCGGAAAGUCAUGAUUUUAGAUGAUACCAAAACUACGCCGUUUCGGCUAACACUGAACUUGGGUUGGGCUGAAC